GGGCAUUGCUAGGGGUCUCCAACACAUUGUUUUGGAGUGAGAUACACCCUUUGAACCUGAUGCGGGUUAUGCCGCCGUAGGGAAGCUAGUCCACCGCUUC
rnacentral:ncRNA from 2 species